UAAAAUGAGCUUUUUUAGAAGGUUACUUAGCACCUCCUCGUUGUUCUUUAUUGUAUUAACGGUCUUAUUAAUUGCCCUAUCGAUGGGAAGGAAGCUAAAGCAUGUUCGAUGCGGAGAGAUUGUAGACCGCGGAAUGUGUGGCUUCAAUUACACCAGAUACCAUUUCAGCCCAUCCCAAAACCAAUGUUACAAAUUCUUCUAUAGAGGCUGUGCUGCCUUCGGAAACAACUUCAAGUCCUACAAGGGGUGCAUGAGGUUCUGCAAGGACACAACUAAAGAUUCUUAAUUGUGUCAUGUGUUUUUUAUUGUAAAUGUUAUUAAUUUUCACUUCAUGGAAAUAAAAAGUCCAAGCGCGCAAA